AUACGCGCUGUGCGUGUAUCUCUCUUUCACACACACACACACACACACACACACACACACACCUCUCGGAGUGCGUGGACGCUCGUGCGCAUGUGACUCUGUGACGUUUCUCUCUUUCCCCUCUCCCUUUUCGCGUUGAUCACUUGUGCCCCUGUUCUUUUUUUUUUCCUUUCUCUUUUGUUCUUGUGCGACGUCCAAAGACGCAACUUCAUGGCGAGCGAGCAAAGAAGCGCAAAGGCGUGCAAGGAACACGCUGUCAAGAGAAUGCGGAAUCGCACGUCUCUCUGGGUCCUUACACGUCCCGCUCUCUAUCCCACCCCACCAGUCCUCUCACCGACCUCUCGGCGUAUUCUGUGGUUCCAUUGGAUACGUGCACAAUGGCUGACGAAGUGUCUGCUUUUACCGCGCAGGCGCUGCCUAACGAGACCCCUCAAAGCAAGGAAUCGAUUUUGUUCUGAACCACAUCUCGCAGCUCAUCUCUCCAUGAUCCCUCCCCCCCCCCCCACUCUGCUCUCACUGUACACAUACUGAGGGAGGAGAAAAG
rnacentral:misc_RNA from 1 species